AGAGUUUGAUUCUGGCUCAGGAUGAACGCUGGCGGCGUGCCUAACACAUGCAAGUCGAACGAAGCACUUAUCUUCGAUUCUUUCGGGAUGAAGAGAUAUUUGACUGAGUGGCGGACGGGUGAGUAACGCGUGGGUAACCUGCCUCAUACAGGGGGAUAACAGUUAGAAAUGACUGCUAAUACCGCAUAAGCGCACGGAAUCGCAUGAUUCAGUGUGAAAAGCCGAGACGGUAUGAGAUGGACCCGCGUCUGAUUAGGUAGUUGGUGAGGUAACGGCCCACCAAGCCGACGAUCAGUAGCCGACCUGAGAGGGUGACCGGCCACAUUGGGACUGAGACACGGCCCAA
rnacentral:rRNA from 1 species